GAAUAGCGUCGAACAUAGAGGCCCCCUUUUGUCUCUCUAGGAGGUAGUACAAGCACCAGAAGCCGCAAAGUACUGACAGCCUCUCUUGGAUCUCAUCCCCUGAAUAAGCAAGUGCCUUUCCAGACAUAGCUAGGUACCGCUCAACCUCAUGUGGCACUGCAAAGCUGUCGAAGUAUUCACAGUACGUGUUGUUACAGCUAAACUCUGAAUUUUUGUGUUACAAGAUGUUUUGUUAAUAUGUUUGUACACCCUUUGUUCGUCGCCGGUUUAGUAGUUUCUAGUUAACACAUCGUUCUAUUGUUAUUACAGUCCUUUGUCUAAGUCAUGCUAAUUUUCGAUAAGUACACGUAAGCAUUCUAUAUAUUAGUCACUGCAGUUAAGAUUUAUUUAGUUCGUCCUCUCUGUCGUCUACUCGUCUGUAUAUUGUCACCUUUGAGUACCGUCAAUGUGGAGAAUAAAAUGAACUAGAAGUUCACAUGGUUAUUUUAUUUUCACGGCGCGUCACUCUGGUGACAUAGUACUCAAAGAUCUAGAUGAUAGUUGACGAUGUUUGUUCUACCAUGGAAAGGUAGAAAGAAAGACUUCUUAAUGAUCUUGACGUCCUUAUUGCUGAAAAUGUUCCUUCAGACACGGUUCUAAAGAAACGAAGAACUUUGGAAAAUAUAAUUGAAAACUUCAAAGCUUGUGUUCUGAAAUGGUAUCAAGAAGUUGAUCCAACUAAUGCAAUUAAGAGAGGUCAAAUUGCAAAGACAUUCAAUGAUGAAAUUAUCAGAUUUAAAAGAUUUCAAGCUGCAUACAAAGAAUGGCAUAAUCAUGUGUACGAGAGCAGACCGCUCACGUCAUUUAAGUUAUAUUUGAAUGAAAUAGAUGAUGAAAUUUUAUAUCCUGAGCAUUCUCGCAUUGAGCCCGCGAUACUCGAAGUGCCUGGUACUAAUCAGCGGACUGCGCAUUCUCAUAUUGAGCCUGCGAUACUAGAAGUUUAUGAAAGCAGUCAGCGGUCGACACUUUCCCAAGCUGAGCCCGCGUUGUCCCAAGUUUACGGCAGUGGCCAGCGGUCUUCUCCCACUCAAGUUGAGCCCGCGUUGCAUGAAGUACGUGACACUGGUCAGCGGUCAACUCCCACUCAAGUUGAGCCCGCGUUGCAUGAAGUACGUGACACUGAACUAGAAGUUCACAUGGUUAUUUUAUAUUCACGGUGCGUCACUCUGGUGACACGUGUCGUCUAUAUUUCGGUAGCAGACCCAAUGAGUUCCAGCUCCUCUACUAUUGUCGAGGUUGACUAUCCCACAUUCCUUUUUAUGGAUCCGCUUGGGUAGAUCAUCGCGACUAUAUACACCUCUGAAGUGUUCUAUGCCUAGCUUGGUGACCCGUUUUAGAAGGUCGAUGUUUGAAAGUGGUUUAUUAACAAACCAUAUAGAAGCGCUUCGAGUAAUGGGAUACCGUUGAACGGGCUUUUUUGCCUAGGAGGAGCCAUCUUGCAUUUUGCUUCUUUCUUUUUUUUUUUUUUGCUUUCUCUUUGGUUUAGCUCCAUAUCCAAUCGUUGAGUCAUCCCACUGACCGUAAAAUGGAGGUGGCCUUAGGCUUAGGUAACCGCCCUUAGGCUUAGGCUUAGGUGGUGGGGGGAUUCUGUACGUUUGAAGGUAGUUCUAAGGACUGUUGUCUACUUGGAGACCUUUACCCGAUAGAGCUGACAUAAGCAGGGGCACCCCGAUCGAGGCAAGCAACGCCCCGAGCAACCCCCCUUCCUGUUGCUUUCUAGUUAGUUUAAACUGUGGGAUAAAAGACCCAGCUUGGAGGGCUUAAACGAUUUGCUCCUUUUGUUUUUGCGUAAGGUAGCCCUUAUACUUUAUUAGUUUGUCAACUUUGUCUUGCGGGACACUUAAUAGCCCAGAGCCAGUCUUUGGUAAGGCCUUAUUGAGACCCCAACUAGCUAAUCCACUGAGAGCGCCCGUGGCCAAUGGCGCGACGGCCUUAGAUAGGUAUGGUAGUGCUGCUGACCCAAGGCGGGCAAGUGCUGGUAAUAGAGCGCCCAAGAAUCCACCUUCCUGCUUUCUAAUCUGAGUCUGACUGAUUUUUAUGUCAGUCCCUGUCCAAUUCCGUUUCGACUUCUCAACUCGAUUAAUCUGGCUUUUUGUCAACAGCACAGUAUCUGAGCCUGACAGUUGGCUAUGCUUUAGUCGAAGAGUUAUAGGUGCUUUCUUCUUAUAUGACUUGAGCAACUUCUCCUUUUGACCUGGAGUCAAUCUUACAUUGUAUUUGACAUACGACAUCUAUACUAAUAGGUUAUACAAAAACCUAGAUUCUAGUAAGUAGGGUUCCUCCUUUGUAGUCAUUAAUGGAAUUUACGUGUCCUACGACGUCUCGAAACACUCUGGACAUCGCAGAACUAACCUGGUACUCACCCUCUGGAUACUGGUUACCAGUCCCUACCUCUAGAUGACAACUCGUUAGCGUCCUAUCGUUAGCCAACGAAAAUGUCUUAUAUAGGAAUGGAUUUAUUGUUUGAGAAUCCUUAUUGGUGUCAUUGGAUAUCCACACGAAAACAUGUCUAGGACGAUUGAUUCCACUGGUUAUCUUAAAGCGCUGUUUGAGCUCUUACUGUGUUUGACCGCUCGACCAUCUCCCUUAGAUAAGUCCACUUAUGGGGAGCUAAAUAUUUACUCAUACAUGCUCUCACCCCCUGAGUUGAAGAUGAUUCGUGGCACCCACAGUUUGAAUCUCGUUAUAACGACUCGGCAAUCCGCUCCUGCUUGCCAUAUGAGAGUCGCGUCACUAUUUCGAGUGAUUUGUAUCUCAACCUUUGUGUUAGGCAUAAGUUUGUCUUUAAACGCUUCAAACAAAGAGUCUCUACUGAAAGGUAUUUCAGUGUAAACAGUUGUAGAUGUCCCGAGCAAAAACUAUCAAGCAGCAAAGCCCUUAUUAUAACCCGCAUGGGCUGACCUCUUCUCAACAUAUCUUUUAGUGUCUAGGAAGUAAAACUCGUUUGUUCCAGUCGUUUGAGCAUAUGAAGUGUCGUACUCAAGAAGGUUCUUGAUAUUAACGGUGUGAUCCGCCUGUGUGUUGUCGUAGACUGAAAUGCCAUUGACCUUGACGGAUAUCUCGUUGAUCAGUGAAUGACUACCAUUUACAAUACCAUUGUCAUCGUCGACAGCGAUGUUUCCACCAUCCGCUAACAAUUGGACUUUAAAAGUAACCUCAAAACGGGCGUUGUACCAAUCGAGAGGCGCGAUUUCUCCACUGUUGUCGGCCACAAUACGAUACCCUGUGAGGGUUUGGUGCGCGUUGUUCGCGACGUUUAAGACUAGUGGAGUCUCUAGAUCGAACGAAACGUCUUCAUAGCGUUGUACGUACUUCGGAUUUCUAUACAUUUAUAUAAUAUGGUUAGAUAAUACCUCACACUCUCAACCAGACGCACCCUUCCAGAUCCGUUAAAUAUACGCUGGACACGUUCGAUGAUCUCAGAGUCUGUUAACGGAGCAUCUUUGGUUGUUGUUGGGCUAACAGUGGGUUGGGUACUCUUUUUGUUCUUCUCUAGGAGCUUGACGAUCUGAUCCGCUGCUCUAUUCCAAGGGUAAUCGCCAGUUUUGGUUAUAGCGUUUGAGACUGCUUUACUCGUCGCAUCCUUUACAGCCUUCUUUGCUGUCUUUCCAAAUACCUUACGGCCGCGAUUAGUUAUCGAGUCAAAAACGCUCCCGCCGUAGAUGUGCUUCAAUACGUAUCUACCCACAUCGGGGUCAUAUCUCCUCUUAUACUCAUGUUGAGAACUCAUAUACAAUUAGGUUAGACUAAUAUAUCGACCUCAGGAUUAGAGUCAUGUGCCAUUCGAUACCGUUGAGAUUGAUAGUACGACCAAUAGAAUCCACGACGUAGAAUCUCAUACUGCUAAUCAAAUUGGCAGCCACGUUGUUACAGCGCUCUGGUUGGUUGGACUGAGAACGGGUAGCUCCGACUCAAGUUGUCUGUCGGUAUGACAAAUAGCGUGUUACUAGCGCGACCUCCUACAAUGUUGUCGGUUAUUAGAUUAGUGUUGAUGUGGAGCAUGUCUAUGCUGUUCGUGAUGUUGGGUAAUUUAGAUCCAUACUCAGUCUUCGAGAUGACGUUUGGGUCGAAUCCUAUAAGUUCGCCGGAUUUUGUCCCCCUCACGACUUUGUAGGUGGUGAGGACAAAUACGAUGUUGAUUUGGAAUUUGUCUUUACCAUCAGCAACCCCUACAUGACCGUUCGAUUUCAUGUCCUGAUGUAAAAAAUCGUUCAGAUCAUGGUAUGAGUACCCCACUUGGAAAGGUGACGGUUGUCUAAGUCGCCUCACUAUCAGUCUAAGUCUUAAACCGUACCAAAACCUAAUUCUACCGACGGCGAAGUCUGAAGCCUACCAAACAUACCAAACAUGCAUGCAGGACAUAUAGAAGAUAGUAAGAUUUUGCAGAAAUUGCGUGAAACAUGCCCAUUGCUAUAUACCUUACAAGUGAUUUUAUGUGGUGAACCAAUCGGAAGAAGCCAGAAAAAUAGCUGUUAGUUGUCUUAUAUUUACAAGGUUCCCCACAUAAAAAUUUACCCGAAAAGCUGGAUCUGACAUAGUAAUUAACCUAUAACCAAAAUAUUAAAAAAAAAAUAUUAUGAAUCAUGUUGUGUCAUCUGUAUCUUAUGCUAUAAUAGGUAGUAAAAGAGUAAAAUGUAGGGUAACAAAAUAGGGAGAUUUAGGGAAUAUCUAGUGAGUGUUGCUGAUGAAGUAGGCGUGAAGGCAUGUUGCUAGUGUAUAUGUGGAAUGAUGGCGGUGGAAGGGCGAAGAAUUGUGUGUGGCUGAAGAGGAAAAUAAGAAGAGGGGCUAGAAAAUAGAUGUUUACCAUAUCUCCGAGAAUCUCCGUAUAUGAAAGAUAUUCCUAGUUAAUAAUAGCUACUUCUAUUAGUCGGGCACGUUUCAUUAGCGUGUCGGGAGAGCUCGCGCCAUUUGGCAGUAGCUAAGAUAACGCAACGUAACUUGACCAGGUUUUUUAAUGAAGAGCGCGUUGCAAAUAAGGCACACUUCAGGCAUUUCAUGGAUUAUUAUCAGAAUUUAACCUAAUAUCCUGCCCUUGAGCGCGUCGCACAAUUCAGCCAAAUCAGAAUGUGUUUCGUUGUUUAGAAUUUAGCCAAACAAGCUCUGUUUUUGCCCUUGUAACGACAAGGAACUAUUUGGUACGUGACACUUUCUUAAAUAUGGCACUUUGUGCUGUAUAACAUUGCACUUUUUACAUAGUCGCAAAAACUGGAUAUCAGUUUAUGGCUGUACGACAUCGCAUUUUGUCUUAUCACACCGCUCUAAUUUCAUACAGAUUUUAGCUGAUGAAACAAAGGUCCUUCGAAGAACAUAGGGUAGCUUGGUCCCCCCUAGUAGUUCGCCUCUAGUACAGCCUUUUUUAAAUGCGCUGCGCUGAAACAAACACCUUCCAGGGAAAAAUCAAGGGAGGGAAUAUGCUGUCCCCCCAACCACCUUCCAAAAAAAUGUGUGCGUGUGUGUGUGUGUGUGUGUGUGUGUGUGUGUGUGUGCGUGCGCCGAACCGUGUUUAGGAGGACCGGUAUUUGGAUAAACACCAACGUUCAGAGGACCACCGUAUUUACGAGGACCGACCUCCGGUCCUCGUAACGCUUUUUGUCUAGAACACCGUAAAACGUCGUGCAAUGAUAUCCUAGAGGCUUUUUAAAGUGGUCCUCGUAAACCACCCUGGGCAUGAUUUGUAAGUGUGCAUGAUUUUGGUCCUUCUAAACCACCUUCCGUUAGCUUUUUACUUUUUAUUGCUUUUUUCAGUCAUACUCUAGGAAUCUUAGGUUUUGAGGCUAUCUCACAUAUUAUCAAGGAAUAACAAUUACAAAAAAGUUGUUUCUUCUAGUUUACACUCUUCUUUUUUUUUAGCCCCACACACACUUUUUUCAGUGGUCUUCCUAAUGUUGGUGAAAAAACAUGUCGUAGCAACGUCGGUGAAAAAACUUGUUAUAUUUUAAUCAAAUGCAAGUAGGGAAUUAAAUGACACUAUAUAGUUGUUUUGUUCGUUUAUUAGAAUUGCAACAAAUAAAUCAAUUCUAUCACA